UAGAGGACAAACGUAAGGACGAACUUUCUUUAAGACGGGGUAGGGAAAAUCAAAACGUAAAAAUUGAAUGGACUGACGAGGUAACUUGGUUACAAAAAAGACAAGACUGCCAAAAACAAAACGAGAAUACCCGACGACGACUUAGAAGGCCCUUGCCUCCUACAGCCCUACCCGAUGAGGGCAGCACCGUAGGUGACAUAAUUGUUCAAGUGUCCUGUCUAGGAAAAGCAUUUGUCUGUUCAAACAGGAUCUUCAUUUCAUUUCUGCAUAUAUCACUGUUUACGUUACAUCUGGUGACGGACAUUAACAUGGUUGGUGGCAGAGGACGUGCAAGUAUCUUAUCUGAUCUUAAUUGAUCUUCAGGGGUAAAAAAAAUAUGAAAAAAAAGUAUCUGAUCGGAUUGUAGUUGACCACCUAUCGGUAUCUGAUCUUCAGGCCAAAAAAAAAAGAUCCGAAACACUGGUCCCAGCGCAGCGCCCCGCCGUUCGGUGCGCAUAAGGAUGAAAAAAAAUACUUUAGUUUUUCUCUUUUCCCAACAUUCAUUUGUUUUCUUGCAGUUUCAGUGGUUUUAUUAUGGCAGUAUUAUUUGUGUGGUACUCCUUUACCGUGUUUUUGCCUUUUUGGUUUGGUUGCUGUUGUGUCUUUGUCGGUUUUGUUUGUUUUUCCUAUCUCCCCUUUCACUCUCUACUCGCGUGCAUUCAGCAAUUUGUAAAUCAGAAAGUUCCCAAACCAGAGUCAUAGAACCCUGGUUGGUUCACGCUGAGAGGAAUCCCUAUACCGCGUUUUGUUGGUCUGAAUGUCUAAAAUUUCGACGGUUUUGGGGUGGGGCACAGUGGUGGAAA